rnacentral:rRNA from 1 species
GAUGAACGCUAGCGGGAGGCUUAACACAUGCAAGUCGAGGGGUAUAGUAGCAAUACUAGAGACCGGCGCACGGGUGAGUAACGCGUAUGCAACCUGCCCUUUACAGGGGGAUAGCCCGUCGAAAGGCGGAUUAAUACCCCAUAAUAUUGUACCAUCGCAUGAUGGAACGAUAAAAGCUGCGGCGGUAAAGGAUGGGCAUGCGUGACAUUAGCUUGUUGGUAGGGUAACGGCCUACCAAGGCUACGAUGUCUAGGGGUUCUGAGAGGAAGGUCCCCCACACUGGUACUGAGACACGGACCAGACUCCUACGGGAGGCAGCAGUGAGGAAUAUUGGUCAAUGGGCGCGAGCCUGAACCAGCCAUCCCGCGUGCAGGAAGACGGCCCUAUGGGUUGUAAACUGCUUUUGUGCAGGAAGAACGCCAGGUACGUGUACUUGGGUGACGGUACUGCAUGAAUAAGCACCGGCUAACUCCGUGCCAGCAGCCGCGGUAAGAC